CAGGUCACACUUCCAGACCCUUAAAACCUUUUUGAUACCAGGAAGAGACAUGAGUCUGUGGCAUUAGCUCAGUACUGAAAUCCAUCUACAAUGGCUAAAGCAGUGAAAUCCAGUGAAAUCGGAAAAUCUUGUGCAUGCCAAGAGAAAAAGAGGAAACCAUCCCAGAAAAUCUGCUUUAACAGAAACUACACCCUCUACACUCACAGAGUGCUAAAAGAGGUAGUCCCCAACCAAGGUUUGUCAUCCAAAACUGCUGACAUCAUGAACUGCAUGAUCAAUAAUGUCCUUGAACGAAUUGCUGAAGAGGCCUGCAACCUCCUGUGUUACAAAGGACAUUUAACCCUUAGCCACCAGGAUAUCCAGAUGGCCGUUUACAGGCUACUGCCAAAUGAGCUGGCCAAGCAUGCUGUGGCUUUUGGUACAAGAGCUGUUACAAGUUACAAUGACUCCAGAUCUUCUGUCAACUUGUGACAAACCAGAUUCAGGUUGGAUGCUGCUGCUGGUUUUAAUACAGAUUUUCAAAGAAGAGAGCCUAUCACCAAAGCAUGUAUCUGCUUUGGAAAAGAACAAGAAGAAAUCCUAAGAUUCCCCCAUCUUCAUGCCCGAAAUGUUGUUUUCAAGCAAAGACCAAAAAGCCAUCAGGAAAAAAAUUCUCCAUCAAAGUCUGUAUUUGAAAAUGCUUAGCAUUGUUUAUAAUUUUGAGCAGCCUGAGCCUUAAAAAAAUCUCAUGGAAAGAAUCACA